rnacentral:rRNA from 1 species
CUACGGGACGCAGCAGUGGGGAAUAUUGCACAAUGGAGGAAACUCUGAUGCAGCAACGCCGCGUGGAGGAUGACACUUUUCGGAGCGUAAACUCCUUUUAUAUAGGAAGAUAAUGACGGUACUAUAUGAAUAAGCACCGGCUAACUCCGUGCCAGCAGCCGCGGUAAUACGGAGGGUGCAAGCGUUACUCGGAAUCACUGGGCGUACAGAGCGUGUAGGCGGGUUAAUAAGUCAGAAGUGAAAUCCUAUGGCUCAACCAUAGAACUGCUUUUGAAACUGUGAACCUAGAGUGUGGGAGAGGUAGAUGGAAUUUCUGGUGUAGGGGUAAAAUCCGUAGAGAUCAGAAGGAAUACCGAUUGCGAAGGCGAUCUACUGGAACAUAACUGACGCUGAGACGCGAAAGCGUGGGGAGCAAACAGGAUUAGAUACCCCUGCAGUC